ensembl:snRNA U2 U2 spliceosomal RNA
AUCGCUUCUCGGCCUUUUGGCUAAGAUCAAGUGUAGUAUCUGUUCUUAUCCGUUUAAUAUCUGAUACGUCCUCGGGGAGAGGACUUUAUAUUAAACGGAUUUUUGGGUGCGGGAGUUGGACCCGGAGCUUGCUCCCUCCGCUUCGCACAUCAUCCCGGUAUGGCAGUACCUCCGGGCAUGGCGCUCCUCCC